AGCGCGAAGAAAACAUUGAAGUCCGCGAAGUGAGAAGUAAGACUACCAUCCCGUGUGUGCUGUACCGGGGUGGGGUCUUGCUUCUUUCUUAGCGGGUUUACAACACGACGAUGGACGGC
rnacentral:precursor_RNA from 16 species